rnacentral:rRNA from 1 species
CAAUAGCGUAUAUUAAAGUUGUUGCGGUUAAAAAGCUCGUAGUUGGAUCUCGGCGGGCAGGGGGUGGUUCGCUCUUCAGCGCUACUGCCCCGCUUUGCCCGUGUGAUUGGCGGAGGUUUCGGGGUGCUCUUCGUUGAGUGACUCGGAGCGCCGUCAGGUUUACUUUGAAAAAUUAGAGUGCUCAAAGCAGGCUUUUCACGCUUGAAUAUUCGUGCAUGGAAUAAUGGAAUAGGAACUCGUUUCUAUUUUGUUGGUUUUCGGAAAUCGAGUUAAUGAUUAACAGGGACAAUUGGGGGCAUUAGUAUUUAAUUGUCAGAGGUGAAAUUCUUGGAUUUAUUAAAGACUAACUUAUGCGAAAGCAUUUGCCAAGGAUGUUUUCAUUAAUCAAGAACGAAAGUUAGGGGAUCAAAGACGAUUAGAUACCAU